rnacentral:rRNA from 1 species
CCUACGGGUGGCAGCAGUGGGGAAUAUUGCGCAAUGGGCGAAAGCCUGACGCAGCGACGCCGCGUGAGGGAUGAAGGUCUUCGGAUCGUAAACCUCUGUCAGCAGGGAAGAACGGUCACUGUGCUAAUCAGCAGUGAAUUGACGGUACCUGCAAAGGAAGCACCGGCUAACUCCGUGCCAGCAGCCGCGGUAAUACGGAGGGUGCGAGCGUUAAUCGGAAUUACUGGGCGUAAAGCGCUCGUAGGCGGUAUGUCAAGUCAAGGGUGAAAUCCCCGCGCUCAACGUGGGAACUGCCUUUGAAACUGGCAAACUGGAGUGUGUGAGAGGAGGGUGGAAUUCCAGGUGUAGCAGUGAAAUCCGUAGAUAUCUGGAGGAACAUCAGUGGCGAAGGCGACUAUCUGGAACAUAACUGACGCUGAGGAGCGAAAGCGUGGGUAGCAAACAGGAUUAGAUACCCUUGUAGUC